rnacentral:rRNA from 1 species
UCUCCCCUAGUACGAGAGGAUUGGGGAGGACCGACCUCUGGUGUGCCGGCUGUCCCGCUCGGGGCACCGCCGGGUAGCCAGGUCGGGACCGGAUAAGCGCUGAAGGCAUCUAAGCGCGAAGCCCCCUCCAAGACGAGGUUUCCGGCACGCGAGUGCGAAGGCUCCUGGAAGACGACCAGGUCGAUAGGCCGGGAGUGCACGGCGGGCGACCGCCGCAGCCGACCGGUCCUAACAGCCGAGUGCUUGACCAC